rnacentral:rRNA from 1 species
AUUGAACGCUGGCGGCAUGCCUUACACAUGCAAGUCGAACGGCAGCACGGGUGCUUGCACCUGGUGGCGAGUGGCGAACGGGUGAGUAAUACAUCGGAACGUACCUUAUCGUGGGGGAUAACAAAUUGAAAAAUUUGCUAAUACCGCAUAAUACUCUGAGGAGGAAAGCGGGGGAGUCGUAAGAACCUAGUGCGAUUAGAGCGGCAGAGGGUUGAUUAGCUAGUUGGUGAGGUAAAGGCCCACCAAGGCAACGAUCAUUAGCAGGUCUGAGAGGAUGAUCUGCCCCACUGGAACUGAGAAACGGUCCAGACUCCUACGGGAGGCAGCAGUGGGGAAUUUUGGACAAUGGACGAAAGUCUGAUCCAGCAAUGCCGCGUGAGUGAAGAAGGCCUUCGGGUUGUAAAGCUCUUUUGUCAGUGAAGAAAACUUUAAUAAUAACACUAUUAAAGCAUGACGGUAACUGAAGAAUAAGGACCGGCUAACUACGUGCCAGCAGCCGCCGUAA